rnacentral:lncRNA from 1 species
GCUGGGUCCGGGCCCGGCCAGACUGGGUGGAAAUCUGGCUGACCUUGGUGGUCUGUCUUGGCCAGCUGGAGCAAAGGGAUGCCAGGGGACGGGUCUCGGUGCAGUGACUGCCAUUAGCUUGGGGCCGCAGAAAGUUUCUCCCCUUUCUCGGGCUCCUGCCAGGCCCUUGGCUUUCAGAGCCAGGCCCGAUUUCUAGAUAACAUUUAAGUUUGCAGAAAAGGGGAUGCCAAGUCACGGUGGUCACGGCUGUGGGAUGCAGCCUCUGAGAUUUGUAUUAAUUUUUGUGAGCCGGGGAAAGGCCUUGCUGCUUUCUCCGCCAGGACUGAUGUGUCUUCCCAAGAUGAAAGUGCCUGAUGCUGCUGCUUUCUCCCCUGAUGGGAAGUGGAAGCCAUGAUUCUGCAGUCCUGGCCAUAAAGCUGUGAAUUGUACUAGCUGGC